UUAACUCUAAUUUGUAUGGAGUUGGAAAGUUUGGCUACGUUUGCCGCUAGGCGCGCUGUUCCAACUACAUACGAGUUAACUUUU
rfam:Bombyx mori DNA, contig: Bm_scaf43_contig24268, strain: p50T/Dazao, build 2, whole genome shotgun sequence.